rnacentral:rRNA from 1 species
UACGUAGGGAGCAAGCGUUGUCCGGAAUCAUUGGGCGUAAAGCGCACGUAGGCGGCUUCUUAAGUCAGGGGUGAAAUCCUGGAGCUCAACUCCAGAACUGCCUUUGAUACUGAGGAGCUUGAGUCCGGGAGAGGUGAGUGGAACUGCGAGUGUAGAGGUGAAAUUCGUAGAUAUUCGCAAGAACACCAGUGGCGAAGGCGGCUCACUGGCCCGGUACUGACGCUGAGGUGCGAAAGCGUGGGGAGCAAACAGG